UCAGCUUUCCUGAUAAUAUGGACCCUGGAAGGCAGUGGUGAUGGCUUCAGUAAUUGAAUUCCUGACAUUUACAUGAAAGAUCUAGACUGAAUUCCUGAAUCCCAGUCUUGUCCCAGCCCAGUCUCCAGCUAUGGCAAAUUGGAGAAGUGCAAAGCACUACUACUACUUUGCACAAUGAUGCUUCUGAGGGAUGGAUUACAAGUGCAGGUGAUCCUAUCUCCAGCCAUAUCCAGAAACAUCAUGAAUGCUAUGCCAAGAGGCAUGGGCUUCAGCACACUCUCACGACUCGCUGUUACCAAGGCACAGUAAUUUCAUCACCACUGGCUGUAGAUACUUUGAAGAAGUUCUUCAUCAUACUAAAAAGAGGUCAGACAAUGUACAGUAUUACCAGCAUGGACUGCAGUGUAAGCAAAUUGGUAUACAAAAAAGCCAUUACCCACACUCACAAAGCAGAGGAAAGUAUAAGUCACUAAUAUCAAGUGGAUUCAUGAUCCCUGCAACGACAAAACGACCAGGGGUGCUUCACAAGGAAAAAUGUAGGUAUGCCAAGUAUAAAACCUAGAAGGUUGAACCUGUUUAAAGAUUCAUAUAUUUACAAAGCUGAUAGGAAAUAUACAUUUUAAUGACCAUUUUAAAAACUAUGUAUUAAUCCUGCAUGAUUUAUAAAGGAAUUGUAGGACCUAACUGAAUAUUCUGCAGUCCAACUCUGCACGUCAUUUUUAAACGUUUUACUAAAAGUCAUCUUAAAAAUAAUUAGCUCCCAAAGUUUUCAGUCUUUCUGAUGUAUUUUUUUCAAAUGCUAGAUUUUUACCAUGGUGUUCCAUUUCUG